GACGAACGCUGGCGGCGUGCUUAACACAUGCAAGUCGAACGGAAAGGCCCUGCUUUUGUGGCGUUCUCGAGUGGCGAACGCGUGAGUAACACGUGAGUAACCUGCCCUUGACUUUGGGAUAACUUCAGGAAACUGGGGCUAAUACCGGAUAUGAUCUCCUGCUGCAUGGUGGUGGUUGGAAAGUUUCGGCGGUUGGGGAUGGACUCGCGGCUUAUCAGCUUGUUGGUGGGGUAGUGGCUUACCAAGGCUUUGACGGGUAGCCGGCCUGAGAGGGUGAACGGCCACAAUGGGACUGAGAGACGGCGCAGAAGCCUACGGGAGGCAGCAGUGGAGAAUAUUGCGCAAUGGGCGGAAGCCUGAUGCAGCAACGCCGCGUGCGGGAUGACGGCCUUCGGGUUGUAAACCGCUUUCGCCUGUGACGAAGAGUGAGUGACGGUAAUGGGUAAAGAAGCACCGGCUAACUACGUG
rnacentral:rRNA from 1 species